rnacentral:tRNA from 1 species
GCUUCCGUAGCUCAACUGGAUAGAGCACCGACCUUCUAAGUCGGGGGUUCCGGGUUCGAAUCCCGGCGGGGGCGCCA